GAUGAACGCUGGCGGCGUGCCUAAUACAUGCAAGUCGAGCGAACGGACGAGAAGCUUGCUUCUCUGAUGUUAGCGGCGGACGGGUGAGUAACACGUGGAUAACCUCCCUAUAAUACUGGGAGAACUUCGGGAAACCGGAGCUAAUACCGGAUAAUAUUUUGAACCUCAUGGUUCAAAAGUGAAAGACGGUCUUUCUGUCACUUAUAGAUGGAUCCGCGCGGCAUUAGCUAGUUGGUAAGGUAACGGCUUACCAAGGCAACGAUGCAUAGCCGAGCUGAGAGGGUGAUCGGCCACACUGGAACUGAGACACGGUCCAGACUCCUACGGGAGGCAGCAGACGGGAAUCUUCCGCAAUGGGCGAAAGCCUGACGGAGCAACGCCGCGUGAGUGAUGAAGGUCUUCGGAUCGUAAAACUCUGUUAUUAGGGAAGAACAUAUGUGUAAGUAAAUGUGCACAUCUUGACGGUACCUAAUCAGAAAGCCACGGCUAACUACGUG
rnacentral:rRNA from 1 species